AUGAUCAAAGAUAGGAUCGUGGAAGCGUAAGAACAGCGGCUUAAAUCAUUAGCAACAAUAUAGCGAUCGAUCAAGAGAGCUGACGUACAUGAAAAGAAGCCAGCGGCAAGUUGCAAUAGGGCCAAUUUCUCUUUAUCAAUGAUCGCCCUGUGGUUUUCUCCGUGGUCAUAGCGUGUGUGUACGUAACACACGGAAUACACGUUGGUGUUAUAUACUAGCCAACGCAUAAACUGUUGCUGCGUGUGCGUACAAGUUCAAGAACAAUGGCAGUUCACGAUCUGUAUAAUGUAUGUAGUAGGUAUACACGAUUUUACCAUGCGACGGUACUGGCUCAUUGUGGUGGCGGCGGCGGUGGCAGCGGGCAGCUCUCGUGCCACUGACCCACAAACAUACUUACCUAUGUUAUACUAUGCUCCUAUAUACAUCGUUCUGCCGUUGUCGCUAUGCUUUAAUGCCCGUACACACCGCGUUUCCGCCUCUCGAAACACGCUUGUGUACGUCGUCCUUGGAAGAUUUACUUGCGGACCUGAUUGCAAUCCUGAUGCUGCUUCGUGAAUUUUUCAUUCGAGCCUGCACCACCGUGAACUGAAAGUAACUGCGUGUCGAGCAACGAGGGCGGUAAUUUUAAGGCAAAUUUCUAAGAAUUUAUGUUUAUGUUUAUGUAUAUAUGCACGUAUAUUUGUUUCAGCUGGGCUCGCUUCAGGAUAGAACGGAUUAAAAAAAUUGGAUUUUGUUGGAAGAAUAACAUUGCCGGAUAUAUCGAUGUGCUUUACUUACGGUUUCAUUUUACUUUACUUAGCGUCCUCUGGCGCUAUUAAAAAGUUGCGUUCUAGAAUGGUCAUGGUAUGAUGAAGAUUAGAUUCGUAUCCUGCGACAUUAAAAUUCUUAACGUUGAUAUAUCCGCGUUAUGCAUAUUGAUAUUGUAUGUACGUUUCCUUUUCACGCGCUUAUUUUUUUUUUUUUUUGAAUUUUAUUUUUACUUUCGUGAACCGUUGUUACUUUACAUUUUAAAUAAUCAUAUUAUAAGAUGAAUUACAAUGAAUUUUGAUUUAAAAAAAGAAAACACAUUUAAAUUUUCACAGGAAUGUAUAAAUAUGUAUAUUGGAUUAAUAACAAUCAAAUUAGAGAUUAAAUGUUUAAAAACUUGGUAUAUAACUCUUUAUAAAUAACAUUCGAAUAAUUUGAUAUAAAGAAAAGAGUUUGUAUGAAAUUAUAGCGAAUCCAUUUUACGUGAGAUUGUAAGAAUUGAACAUUAUUCGAAUUUAGAUCGUGAAAAAUAUUUAUAAUCCGUGAAAAGAAUGACAGAUAUCCGUGUAUAACUGUAUCUACAGAAAAUGGUGGCCGCGUGUAAUCCGCAACUACUUUACUCCCGCGUUUUACUCUCCAUCUCAAUUGUCCCACUUGGUAAACAGGACAAAACUGGAAGAGCAAGGCUGAAAUCCUGCACGGAGAGACGGAGAGCGGUGCACGAAAAAGAGGUAGUCGAUUCGCUCGACUUUUUGCCAUCAUCGUCGUGAAUACAAGACGACGAGAAUCGUCACGAUGGAUAGUGGCAGGAAGCAACGGGAUGGAAGGAGAAAAUGAACAGCCGGUCACGUUAAAAUCGUGAGCGACUAAUCCUGACUUUGUGCUCCAAUUGACCUGGCUACCGAGAACAAAAGCCUCGUUUGAAAGCCUUUGAUGGAUCACGGGACCGAGUAUAAUCGCACAUGACGUCGAGAAGAAGAGAGAAAGAGACAUAUUGUUGCGUUAUUAUUAAAUUUUUAAGUGCAUAGAUAGUAGCCGUAAUAAUGUAUCUAUCAGUCAGAUAUUAGCGAAUCGAUUAAAAUUCUUUUUAUUAUAGAUGAAAGGAAACAAAUGGAUUUUCAAGACGAAUAAUAAUUUUUUUUUCACUUAAAAAAGAGAUUCAAAAUGUCGUAUCGAUCAUGUAUAUAUUCAUAUACUUGUUGAAAACAUUAUUUAUUUAUAUCACUUUCGAACGGUCCAUUUCAUUUUUCAUCGUAUAAAUUACAAAGGAUCUCCGUUAAUUCCGAUUGUCGAUUUUUUCCUCUGCUCGUUCUACUUUCAGUUAAGAUUAUAAUUAAUAAAGAAUAGUCUCGGUAAUCUCCUUCUUUUAUCAUGGAAUUUAGAACAUUUUUUGCCGGCGAUUCUUGAUGAAAAAAAACUUUACGAGAGACACAACGCGCGCCACAGACGGGAUUAUUUUUACGAUCAACGCCAAACCGACCGCGCAUACCAGAAUCAAGCUAGCCGUCAAUUGGCCUUUUUUUUUCCUUUUUCUUUUUUCUUUUUCGUCUGUCCGGCGAAUUGAACUGGGUCACAGUUUCGUUCGCGGAGCUAGGGCAAUAGAGACGGAACCUUUACCUAGUUACGCUUUCGAGAAUUGGGAUGACACCACGGAGAGUUUGAUCGUUGCCCAAAUUUCUCCCCUCCCUAUGAUUCUGGUAUACCCAAAUCCGGAACCUGGUUCGUACAGGGGGGCCCCCACGCUACACGGAAUGUCCUCAUUCUUUUUGAGGCCUCGGGGCCUCGAGGGCCGCGUGACUUCCUCGACGUAACAACUGGGAACCGCGACGAUGGCCCCACGUGAAGCUUCGAAUUCGUCCCUUCGAAUUCCGUGGACGUGAUACGUCGUGGCUAAUUUUACCACGAGGCGUUCGAAUUAACUUUGGAACAGGGUGAGGGUAAAGGAAAGAGUUUGAUGUCGUGAUACCGAUUUGAUCGGUUAUUUUUAAUAAUAUCUUUUCACUUUUUGAACGAUAGAAGAUUAAUAUAAAAUACCGUUUAAUAAAAAGAUAAUUAUGCUUUUUAAAGCUCAGUUCAUUUAAAUUCACUUUUGUUUAUAAAUAACGAUGACGCGUCUUAAAAAUGGAUCCUGGUUGUUUCUUUGAAGCAACAGGUGGUUAUUUCCAUCCGUCCAACUUUCUGUGUAUCGCUUCUAACUCAUGCGGAACCUAUUUGUCCAUUUUCUUUACUUUUCUUAUUUGAGCCUAGUGACGAAUAAUCGUAGAAUGGCUUACUUUUACUUGAAACGAUUAUUUCUCUUUACGCUUGUCGUACGUUAUUUUUUAGCAUAUCUUUUAAAAUAUUAUCGAUCGUAUUUUCCAAUUAUUAUUCAUAUAUUUAAAGUUUUCGAAUAUCAUGUAUACUGGAUUAUUUAACAGGUUUAUUAGAUACUUUCGACUCCCGAUAUAUUAUAUAUUUAUAAAAGAAAACGCCGUAAACGUCUUUCAUAAAAAAAAAACUUAACCUACGUUAUUAACAGGAAAUAUUAAAUCUGCAUUUGCAAAACAUUGCUGUUCCUCCAUACACAUACACACACGUACACGCGCACAUACACACAUACAUGUAUAACACGCGACACGCGCGUCCGUCAAAUUCUGUAUUGUGGGGCGUCAGCCUCGAAACACAACGAGUUCGCCGUUCACCAGCGAUCAUACCGGCGCUCGUCUCGGCGUGAUAAACAAUUACGAAACGGAUUGUUAAAAAAGGAAGCGAUACGGCUCGCGCAUAUUUAUGUAACAACCGCGCAGGCUCAGCAAUGGCCACGAGCGUGUAACGGCAACGCGAGUAAAGUUUUCUCGUGAGUUCGUGUGCGCGUAACAUCCGUAUCGACGUUCCAAGCGGUGUGCAUGCGCCCACCCAGGUUUGCCAUCUCUCCUGUUCCUCUCGUUCCUUGCACACCUGUACGUUAUCACGUACGCCUUUUGGUCACGCGUGUGUGUCACACUUAACGCCUAUCUCUAGUCAUCGAGCAAUGUGGUAGGAUCCACGGGUAUACCACGAGCAGAAGUUUCACUCGGUCUUCGGCCCCGACUUCUCUCCUAUACGUUCUUUUCUAUACGUUUAUGCGCGCGCACACGUACGUAAUGUACGGACGCCUGUAAACGAGGCUGUGCGUUUGUGAAAUCGUACGUGUGAUGUCGUACAGGUAUGCGCAUGCGUAUACGUAUACGUUGGAGGCUCGUACGCGUGCUACCGGUCGUUUAAUCGGAGAACGGGCAGGCAAGUCCUUGGCAAGGCCGAUCGAGACAUCAUCCAGCCACCUUUUUCCAAUUAGCGGACUUCUGGUAAUCGGCUACCGACUUCCUACGAACAAACGCACGCGUCAGACGCGGUGUUUGCGGAUUGCCUCAUCCUCUUUCGUACACGAGUAGGAGUAGCUUAAUUUCUCCCUCGAGAGAAUUGCGCAACAUCGACCUUGAAGAACAAUUAUCCUGACGAACAAGGAAAUUUUUCUUAAAGCUGGAGCGACGAGGAAGGUACGGAGGCUGCUGGUUUGCGAAAUUUACGACAUCACACCGUGGGAUUCUUUGUUGCAACUGACAGUCUGUCUGUAAAAUUGUUUGGUCAAAAUUGAAUUGGCCAAGUGCACAGUUUGUUGGGUAAAACGCAAUGAAAGGAUGGUCGGUGCCCACUAGAGACCCACAGACCGUGCUUUUCGCCCGAUUUACUACGGUCAAAUUUUACAGAGGAAGCCGUCUGUCGCUCGCGAGAUAACAUCUCCAAGAUUUUCCACGCUUUGCGAAAUUGCGGUUCCAUUGAAAUAAUUGUUAACGUUAUACGCACUAUAUCGUAAUCUAUAAACGAGUUAAUUUGUUUCGCGUCAAAUCGUCAAUGUGUAAAAUAUUUGCACUGGAAUGCGUAUGCGGUCGAAUCGAAGGAGACUAAAAGGACUCGUAAUUUUUUUAUAACACCUUCGAGAUAAUUUCCUGGCCAAGGCCUCGAGGAGAUUCAUACAGGUGCGAGGUACAAUGUUAAAACGAGAUGCGGUGGCCACAAUCGGGGGCCGCAAAUCGUUUUUCUUUGCCACCGUAAAUUUUCAGCUGCAUCAUUCAUUGUACAGGGACCGUUCUGUCCAACUUCUGUCCAAUUUUCGAAAGUUAGAAUUUCCUCGUGUUUACUAACAAUCGUCGCAGGAUUUAAGUGUCAUCGAAACCUGUAGAAUUAUUUACGGCCUUCCGUUUUGAAACAUAGCAGAAAUCUUCCGUACCUGUUCCUUCACCAAACAUCGCAACUAACCACUCAACUGUGACUUCUUGUUAAAUUGGAAUUUUUAAAAUUUCCAAAAUUCGAUUAUAUGUAUUUAAUCCAGGAAUAAUUUACACGGGACCUAAUAAUUUGUUACUCGUUUCUAUCAAUUUGAAACGGUAGAAUAAGAACGAGGAACGAUUACAAUUAUUUCUAGGACACUUUUCAACCGUGCGUUGAGAUUUGCGCACGCGCACUUUUUAUUCUAUUCCUCUCGUACAAAUUGAAUCUUUACUUAUCCUCCACGUUCACGGAAUACAAUGUAAGUAUGUAAGUACCUCAAACACAAUUCACACUUGACUUCUCGUACACGUUGUUUUAUGUAUGCGAACCUACUUUCCUGGCGUCGUAAAUUUUUGAUAUCUCCCGGUAACGAUAGAUGGUCCAUCGUUCACCGCCGACUUUCUUCGCGGCUUGAAUGCCGCAAUCAGGUGACGCUGCGUGUUUUCAGUGAAAAAAAUGCGCCUCAUGCAAAAUGCAUGAACUAAAAAAAUCACAAUAAGUAAAGGUAAAGGUAACCUCUUUGCGUUAAGUUACUUAAGUUUGACUUCACGUUUCGCUUCCAUGAUUUCUGAUAAUUUAAGUCCUAAAUAAUAAAUUGAUCAUCGAAAGUUAUCUCUGAAUAAUAAUUGCAAAGUUAAAAUCAAAAUCAAAAUUUAGUUACUUAAGUUUGACUUCACGUUUCGUUUCGUGUAUAUAUAUAUAUAUAUAUAACUUAAUUUUUGAAUAAUAGUUUCUAAAUAACUGGGUAAAGUUUAAAAUCAAAAUUUAGUUACUCACUUAAGUUUGACUUCAGGUUUGUAUAUAUACAUAUAUAUCCAUGAUUUCUGAUAACCUAACCUUCUAAAUAAUAAAUUGAUUAUCGAGCGAAAGUUAUAUCUCUGAAUAAUAAUUGUAAAGUUUAAAAUCAAUUUUUAGUUACUCAUUUAAGUUUGACUUUACGUUUCGUUUCGUGUAUAUAUAACCUAAUUUCUGAAUAAUAAUUUCUAAAUAACUGGGUAAAGUUUAAAAUCAAAAUUUUUAAUUACUCAUUUAAGUUUGACUUUACGUUUCGUUUCGUGUAUAUAUAACCUAAUUUCUGAAUAAUAAUUUCUAAAUAACUGGAUAAAGUUUAAAAUCAAUUUUUAGUUACUCAUUUAAGUUUGACUUUACGUUUCGUUUCGUGUAUAUAUAACCUAAUUUCUGAAUAAUAAUUUCUAAAUAACUGGGUAAAGUUUAAAAUCAAAAUUUUAACUUAGUUACUUAAGUUUGACUUUACGUUUCGUUUCGCGUAUAUAUACAUAACCUAAUUUCUGAAUAAUAAUUUCUAAAUAACUGGGUAAAGUUUAAAAUCAAAAUUUAAUUGCUCAAAUUAAGUUUGACUUCAGGUUUGUAUAUAUAUAUAUAUAUCUCCAUGAUUUCUGAUAACCUAACUUCUGAAUAAUAAAUCGAUCAUCGAGCGAAUGUUACAUCUCUGAAUAAUAAUUGUAAAGUUUAGAAGCUAAAUUUUAAGAAGUGUGUGUAUAUUAUACUUGCACAGAGGGCCGACAGAGGUCUCAUCACACCGUGUUUACGUGUUGGACACUCGGACUCUUAGGAAGCGUGUCGAAUCUCGCAUGGCAAAAUAUUUUCGGUGGUGAGCAUGGAAGCACCGCAGGUAGGUCGAGCGUACGGAAUCGCGCCUCGCAAUAUUUAGACUCGUACUACUUAACCGUGUAUAAAGGGGACCGUGUUGCGAGACGACCGAUUAUUCACGGCCCUUUUCUUUUCUUCGCUUUUCGAAUCCCGGAAGAGUAGACCCUUUUCCCGAGUUCGUUGCACCGACAAUACGGAAGUCUCGGCAAGUUUCGUAGUUUCAGAUACCUACUUUAGACGGUACUGUACACAACUAUCGUGUACACAAAGGCUACUUCUAUUCAUCGAGCAUGCAGGGGCUAAGCUGAGAAAAAUACUAUUUGUGAAUCGCUUCGUUGAACGAGGGAAACAACGAAGAAGAUGUUGCUAACUUCCUAACACGUGGUAAACGAUACAGGGACGAAAAUUUUUAAGGAGAAUCCUUAAAUAUUUAAAGCGUUACGCGUGUCGUAUUUUCGACGCGCGACCAUCGUAAAUUUUCCAAAGUUUCAAUAAUAAACAAAUAUCGCCCCGGCUGCAACACACGUGUUUCUUCGAGAUCCUGGGCACGUUCCUGUGCUUGGAACGUCUACGUCAGUCGUGCCGUCCACGUGUCAUUUCUCUGUAUCGAAUGUUCACGUUCGGAACAAUGUAUGCAAUUUAUCAUUUCAUGAAUAGAAGGCACAGAGCGCAGGUACGAAUGAAUAUUUACAAAGAAGGUUUAAUCUUGAGCUAAACAAUAGAAAAGAAGCGGUAAAAGGGAUAAUAAAUAUUGUUCGUAUUUAAAUACUUUCUUAAUGUUGUAUUGUUCCAGCCUAUUGUUAAGUAAUUUACUUUUAGCAGUUAAGAUAAUUUAAUCCAAUCUGUUAAAUAGUAAUUUGUUAUAUGUAUAUAUAAAUUUAAAUGAUAAUAUGAUAUACGUAUAUGAAAUGAUAUAGAAAUAUUUAAUAUUCCAUAUUCGAUAUUCCAUGCUUGGAAUAUUUAUAAAAAAAUGAGAAAAAAAAACGAGCAAAUGUAGAAGAAAACACGCAUAAACAUUUUGACAAUCGACAAGCGUUGGAUUCGCCAGAAGGUGAUAUAAUUUAUGAUCUUUGUUUGUUUCCAAGGUCGUAGUUAAAAUCCUUAAAUCCCUCGUCAAACCUUCCCGAAUCUCGGGAACCGUUAGGAUUAUUCGAUUUGCAGAAUUUUACUGCUGGUAAUAAACGAGAUUUUGUGCCGUUGU